AUUUAUUCAUUGAAUUGUUGAUUAGAGACUCGGCUCGUUUUUAUCAAAUAUUCAUUCUUUGUAUGUGUGUCUACUUGCAGGGGUCCCCCGCCAAGCCUUAUUGAAUAUUAAGUUAAGUGAAUUUUUAGGUAGGUCACUCUCUCU
ensembl:ncRNA C30A5.12 ncRNA